rnacentral:tRNA from 2 species
AGAGAUAUAGGUUAAAAAAACUUUUUAUUUGUGGUAUAAAAGAUCUUAGUAUGAGUGUUUCUA